rnacentral:rRNA from 1 species
GCUGGCGGCACGCCUUAUACAUGCAAGUCGAACGAAGUAGCAAUACUUAGUGGCAGACGGGUGAGUAACAUGUAGGUAUCUUCCCUUUGGUGAGGAAUAACACGAGGAAACUUGUGCUAAUACCUCAUAAGUCUUUACGGAGAAAGCUUUAUGCGCCAUUGGAUGAGCCUGCACUUGAUUAGUUUGUUGGUGGGGUAAUGGCCUACCAAGACUUUGAUCAAUAGCUGAUCUGAGAGGAUGAUCAGCCACAUUGGGACUGAGACACGGCCCAAACUCCUACGGGAGGCAGCAGUAGGGAAUAUUGCACAAUGGAGGAAACUCUGAUGCAGCGAUGCCGCGUGAGUGAAGAAGGCCCUUGGGUUGUAAAGCUCUUUCGUCGGGGAAGAAAAUGACUGUACCCGAAUAAGAAGGUCCGGCUAACUUCGUGCCAGCAGCCGCGGUAAUACGAAGGGACCUAGCGUAGUUCGGAAUUACUGGGCUUAAAGAGUUCGUAGGUUGUUAAAAAAGUUGGUGGUGAAAUCCCAGAGCUCAACUCUGGAACUGCCAUCAAAACUUUUUAGCUAGAGUAUGAUAGAGGAAAGCAGAAUUUCUAGUGUAGAGGUGAAAUUCGUAGAUAUUAGAAAGAAUACCAAUUGCGAAGGCAGCUUUCUGGAUCAUUACUGACGCUGAGGAACGAAAGCAUGGGUAGCGAAGAGGAUUAGAUACCCUCGUAGUCCAUGCCGUAAACGAUGUGUGUUAGACGUUGGAAAUUUAUUUUCAGUGUCGCAGCGAAAGCAGUAAACACACCGCCUGGGGAGUACGAC